UGGGGAAUCUUGGACAAUGGGGGAAACCCUGAUCCAGCCAUGCCGCGUGAGUGAUGAAGGCCUUAGGGUCGUAAAACUCUUUCGCCUGUGAUGAUAAUGACAGUAGCAGGUAAAGAAACCCCGGCUAACUCCGUGCCAGCAGCCGCGGUAAUACGGAGGGGGUUAGCGUUGUUCGGAAUUACUGGGCGUAAAGCGCACGUAGGCGGACUAUUAAGUCAGAGGUGAAAUCCCGGGGCUCAACCCCGGAACUGCCUUUGAUACUGGUAGUCUAGAGUUCGAGAGAGGUGAGUGGAAUUCCAAGUGUAGAGGUGAAAUUCGUAGAUAUUUGGAGGAACACCAGUGGCGAAGGCGGCUCACUGGCUCGAUACUGACGCUGAGGUGCGAAAGUGUGGGGAGCAAACAGGAUUAGAUACCCUGGUAGUCCACACCGUAAACGAUGAAUGCCAGUCGUCGGGUAGUAUACUAUUCGGUGACACACCUAACGGAUUAAGCAUUCCGCCUGGGGAGUACGGUCGCAAGAUUA
rnacentral:rRNA from 1 species